rnacentral:lncRNA from 1 species
CGGGGUCACUGCCUUCCGCAGCCUGGGGACGCGGGCCGGACUCCGCCACCUGUCGGCCCGUCGGGGCGCCCACUCCCACGUCCCGGGCACCCGCAGACACCCCUCACCCCCGGGCGACGCGCGGAGCCUCUACGGCUCGCGGAGGAGGCGGGGAUCCAGCCGCGCCGCCGAGGGGGACGGGCGCGCAAGUCCAGGGCGGGCGUCCCGGGAGCCCCUCACCUCCGAGGAGUUUCGGGGAGCGAAGCGCGGGACCGGGUGGGGGUGCCCAGGUGAGCCGAAGCCGCUGCGCGCUCUCCGGUGCCUUUCCUUCUCCUGUUCUCCCUUGAAAAUGCCUACUUAUACUUUAAGAAUCAUCUCAAAUGUUGCCUCCUUGGGAAACUUUCUUUGAAGCUCUGUGCCUACUCUUAAAGACUGGUCUCACUAUGUAAUUCAGACUGGACUUGAACUCACUAUGUAGCCCAGGCUGGCCUCGAACUCACGCUGAUCCUCCUGCCUCAGACUCCUGAGUGCUGAGAUUAUAGGCAUGCACCACCAUGGCCAGUUUAUAAUAGAUCUCUUAAAUUUACUCUUUCUAUCUAACUGAAAUGUUGUGUCCUUUGAGAAAUGUUUCCCCAACUCUCCCUUGCCCCAACCUUGGAAACCAACAUUCUGUUCUUUACUUCUGAGCUCAACUUCUUUAGAUUUCACAUAUAAGUGAGAUCAGGCAGUAUUUGUAUUUCUUUUCCUGGUUUAUUUCAUUUAACAUAAUGUAUUUCAGGUUCAACCAUGCUGCCCCAAAAAAUAGGAUUUCCUUCUUUUUAAAGGCUGUGUUGUACAGCAUUCCAUGGCACAUAUAUUCUACAUUUUCAUUUCUUUAUCCAUUCAUCCACUGAGGGACACUUAGGUUGGUUUCCCAACUUAGCUACUGUAACAAAUGAUGCAAUAAAUAUAGGAAUACAGAUAUCUCUUCAACAUAUCAAUUUCAUUCCUUUUGAAUAGAUACCCAGUAAUAGGAUUGCUAGAUCAUAUAGCAGUUCUUUAACAUAUAAAUUUUAAAGUCAGACUUUCUUUAAUUGAAUCUUGCCUAUAUCACUUAUUUUAUGAUAUUGGUCAAGUUAUUAAUUUUUUCUGACUCUGUUUCUUCACUUGCAAAAGAGGAAAAUAAUAAGAUUGCAAUGAACUUUAGCAGUGGCUGGCAUAUACCAAGUUUCUUUUAGAUGAAUGGUGUUAUUUCUACCAGUCCUCUUCAGUUAAAGAGAAAACCUUGAAGUUAGUAGUCAUUUAUGUUGGUCCAAAUAAGAAUUUGGAAUACCUAAUUAUUUUCAUAGAUUUACUAGGGAAGAUCAAUCUUUGGAGUCAAACAUAUCUGAGUUUGUCUUUUGGAGAAUUUAGGUUUUCCACUAUCAUUUCAUGUGUAAAAUGGGCACAAGAAUAUACCCUAAUUCACAUAUUUGUUCUGAAAAUUAAAUGAAAUUAUGUAUGGGAAACUCUCAACAGAGAACUCACAAAGUGCUUAAUAAGUGGUAGCUAUUACUAUUAAUAAUAAUCAACUACAUUGACUUGUAGGCUAGAUAUUUCUUCUUUCAGUUUCCUAAAGCUAUCUGAUUAAAAAAAGAGCUUAAAAUGUAAUAAUCAUUGCCUGAUUAAAGUUUUUAAAAGCUAAUUAGAAUUGUGUCUUACAAAAUAAGUUCUGAUGAUGUAUCGUAUUUUAAAUAAUUGAAAUGUAUGAACAAUGUUAUAAUUUGCAAAUAGGACUAGUUCUGUUGUAAAGUUCUUAGUGACAAAAAUGUUUACAAUAUUCAAAUAAAAUACUAUUUAGUCUAUUGUUAAAGAUAUUUUGAUGAUCACUAUGAUAAUGGAUUGAUAAAAAUCUUAGAGGGUGCCAUGAUCCAUUUCUCUUUCUUGUAUUCCUAUAUAGCUUUGAUGGAUGUUUUCAUUAAUAGUCUUCAGCUCUAGGGAGAUAUUCUUCCAACCAAAACGUUCUUAAAGAUGAAAGACCAAACAUACUUGCUAAAAUUUACUUGGAAGUUGGGAGAGAGAGGAG